rnacentral:lncRNA from 1 species
UAUGACUAUUUCAGACACCGCAAGGUUUGCAAAGGCAAAGGCAGGAAGAGAAGCUUGGUUUAGCCUGCGUUUAUUUUUGUGAUUGGAGAGUGAAGGCAGUCGAGAUAUCACAGGGCGUUCAGAAAGUUUCAGAAAGGGAAGUAUUUGUGCUUUAUCACUUGACCCAGAAACUCCAGCCGAGUGCUAAUCUUUGAUGGAUUCUGCCCGCCUCAUAGGCGCACUAAUAAUAAAAAUGAGGCAGAUGGGGAGCGUUUCAACACAUGACACAUCAAAUCCGUCUCCUGAGAUGUGCCCAUGCCCGUCACAGCCCUGCCUGGGUGGCUUCGAAUGCCGAGCACGGCGAUGGAUAAAAAACUAAAGUGCACAACUUAGCGGGUUUUGUGAAGCCACCACCACUGACUUCUCCCAGAGGAUUUCCACGACCCCCUCCGCCCCCACCAGAAAUCCCAUAUCUGUUAGCCAUCACUGCUCCUCCCCUGCUCCCUGGCCCAUCUUGUCGAAGGCAACAGUCGAUUCCUC